rnacentral:rRNA from 2 species
GUCGAACGAACUCUGGUAUUGAUUGGUGCUUGCAUCAUGAUUUACAUUUGAGUGAGUGGCGAACUGGUGAGUAACACGUGGGAAACCUGCCCAGAAGCGGGGGAUAACACCUGGAAACAGAUGCUAAUACCGCAUAACAACUUGGACCGCAUGGUCCGAGUUUGAAAGAUGGCUUCGGCUAUCACUUUUGGAUGGUCCCGCGGCGUAUUAGCUAGAUGGUGAGGUAACGGCUCACCAUGGCAAUGAUACGUAGCCGACCUGAGAGGGUAAUCGGCCACAUUGGGACUGAGACACGGCCCAAACUCCUACGGGAGGCAGCAGUAGGGAAUCUUCCACAAUGGACGAAAGUCUGAUGGAGCAACGCCGCGUGAGUGAAGAAGGGUUUCGGCUCGUAAAACUCUGUUGUUAAAGAAGAACAUAUCUGAGAGUAACUGUUCAGGUAUUGACGGUAUUUAACCAGAAAGCCACGGCUAACUACGUGCCAGCAGCCGCGGUAAUACGUAGGUGGCAAGCGUUGUCCGGAUUUAUUGGGCGUAAAGCGAGCGCAGGCGGUUUUUUAAGUCUGAUGUGAAAGCCUUCGGCUCAACCGAAGAAGUGCAUCGGAAACUGGGAAACUUGAGUGCAGAAGAGGACAGUGGAACUCCAUGUGUAGCGGUGAAAUGCGUAGAUAUAUGGAAGAACACCAGUGGCGAAGGCGGCUGUCUGGUCUGUAACUGACGCUGAGGCUCGAAAGUAUGGGUAGCAAACAGGAUUAGAUACCCUGGUAGUCCAUACCGUAAACGAUGAAUGCUAAGUGUUGGAGGGUUUCCGCCCUUCAGUGCUGCAGCUAACGCAUUAAGCAUUCCGCCUGGGGAGUACGGCCGCAAGGCUGAAACUCAAAGGAAUUGACGGGGGCCCGCACAAGCGGUGGAGCAUGUGGUUUAAUUCGAAGCUACGCGAAGAACCUUACCAGGUCUUGACAUACUAUGCAAAUCUAAGAGAUUAGACGUUCCCUUCGGGGACAUGGAUACAGGUGGUGCAUGGUUGUCGUCAGCUCGUGUCGUGAGAUGUUGGGUUAAGUCCCGCAACGAGCGCAACCCUUAUUAUCAGUUGCCAGCAUUAAGUUGGGCACUCUGGUGAGACUGCCGGUGACAAACCGGAGGAAGGUGGGGAUGACGUCAAAUCAUCAUGCCCCUUAUGACCUGGGCUACACACGUGCUACAAUGGAUGGUACAACGAGUUGCGAACUCGCGAGAGUAAGCUAAUCUCUUAAAGCCAUUCUCAGUUCGGAUUGUAGGCUGCAACUCGCCUACAUGAAGUCGGAAUCGCUAGUAAUCGCGGAUCAGCAUGCCGCGGUGAAUACGUUCCCGGGCCUUGUACACACCGCCCGUCACACCAUGAGAGUUUGUAACACCCAAAGUCGGUGGGGUAACCU